rnacentral:tRNA from 1 species
GUCCAGCUAGCUCAGUUGGUAAAGCACAAAACUCUUGAUCUUGGGGUCAUGAGGUAAAAUCUCAUGUAGAGCA